UACGAAGGGGGCUAGCGUUGUUCGGAAUUACUGGGCGUAAAGGGCGCGUAGGCGGUCUUGCAAGUCCCGUGUGAAAUCCCUCGGCUCAACUGAGGAACUGCACGGGAAACUGCUUGGCUUGAGUUCGGGAGAGGGAAGCGGAAUUCCGGGUGUAGCGGUGAAAUGCGUAGAUAUCCGGAGGAACACCGGUGGCGAAGGCGGCUUCCUGGACCGACACUGACGCUGAGGCGCGAAAGCUAGGGGAGCAAACGGG
rnacentral:rRNA from 1 species